GUGCCAGCAGCCGCGGUAAUACGUAGGGUGCGAGCGUUAAUCGGAAUUACUGGGCGUAAAGCGUGCGCAGGCGGUUUGCUAAGACCGAUGUGAAAUCCCCGGGCUUAACCUGGGAACUGCAUUGGUGACUGGCAGGCUAGAGUAUGGCAGAGGGGGGUAGAAUUCCACGUGUAGCAGUGAAAUGCGUAGAGAUGUGGAGGAACACCGAUGGCGAAGGCAGCCCCCUGGGUCAAAACUGACGCUCAUGCACGAAAGCGUGGGGAGCAAACAGGAUUAGAUACCCUGGUAGUCCACGCCCUAAACGAUGUCUACUAGUUGUUGGGUCUUAAUUGACUUAGUAACGCAGCUAACGCGUGAAGUAGACCGCCUGGGGAGUACGGUCGCAAGAUUAAAACUCAAAUGAAUUGACGGGA
rnacentral:rRNA from 1 species